CUCCCCCCAACCCCCCCCUCUGCGCUGAGGAGGGAAUUGAGAAGGGACUUUCCAGAGAGCGUUUGCGUGCAGGGUGUGGAAAUGGAAUAAAAGCAUAUGCAAAUAGGCCUUUGCGUGCCUUCCUCUACUCCAGUGAGCAAGAGCCUUUCUCCAGAAAGAUGCUCUUGCUCCAAGACACUUGACAGCUCUCUUCCUUCCCUGGACGGUGGUGGCAGCGCCGAGUGGAGUGGUAAAACCUGGGUAUUCUUGCUUCCUCCAAACAAAAUCUGUGUGCUGGAUACUGGGGAAGGAAGACACAGUUCCUAAUGGCAUGGAAUGCUCGGUGGUGAUACUGUGAUUUAUAAUAAAUAGGCAUUUGGUCUUCAUUCCAAUUUCUGGCAUGGUGGUCCUAAAAGCCUUGGAAUUUCCUGUGGAGAACCAAGCCUGUGUGUGGCUUUAUUCUCAAUUGUUCACAAGAAAUUGGCCAAGGAAAACAAGCCCUUUAAAAGUGGUGAGGUUCGGGUAAAGGUCACAUGGUUCUUCGGCAUCUGUCUCAGACUUGAGAAGAUAAAACAAAGGAGACUAAAAGCAGGUCCAAAUGCUCAAACAACCCCAUGAAAAAUGAUGGUUCAGUCCUUGUCUUUCCCUCCAAGGGUUAACCUGGAAGAUGCUGUGCGGUCUCCAUUAGAAGCUCAUCUCGGUUGUCGAGGGAUGCCUCCGCCUCACACCGGAAACUGGCCCAUCGCCGGAAGUCGUCUUCGGUUAUGACCUGCGGGACAAGAAGAGGCUCUCUCCCAAUGUAGGGUGAAUCCCACCCCAUUUUUAUAUGCUGGGCAUCCUAUUGGCUUGUUUGAGCUUCCCUAUACAAUUAGAUGUAGGAAUUACAAUUCCCUACACAAUUAUUUCUCCUCAAUGAUUUUUUGUGAAUGCACAAAUCAAUAAAAUAUUGAUCCUCAUGUUCUGUUAUCACCAUUGAGCCCCUGCUGUGCUCUAGGCACUGGAGUAUAGCAGUGAUCAAGAUGGACAAGAUCCCUGCAUGCCUGGGCUUAUGUGCUCGUGGAGGGUGAGAGACAUUAAUCCAAGUAAAUUAUUUAAAAGGACAGAUAAUUUUAAGGGGUUCUUUACAGAAAACAAAGAGGGUGACAUGCUGGAGUGUGACAAGAUGGGGGGAAGCUGUGGGGUUAUUUCAUUUGGAUCUUCAGUUCUCUUAGACAAAGUGACAUGCAAGUUGAGAUCCAAUGAUGGGAAGGGGUCAGUCAUGGAGAGGGACAGAUGCAAAGGCCAUGAAACAGCAAUGAACUCAGCUUUCUUUCUGUUCACGUGAAUACACCAGUUGGCUAAAGGAUAGAGAGCCAGAGAGAGAAGAGGCAGCAAUGAGCCUGGGAAGGUAAGCAGCAGUCAGAUUUUGUAUAGCCUGGUAGACUAUUCCACCAGCUAUUGGACGUAUCCAAUAGCUGGAAUAAUCUGACUGAAGGGCAUAUCUUCCUCCCUUGGAGUCCAU